rnacentral:rRNA from 1 species
GAAUCUGUCUAUCGGUCGGGUUUCACUGUCCGUACUGGUGUGGUGGGUUCUUACCUUCUGAAUAACCAGCAUGCCAUUCACUUGGUGCGUUGGGGAAGCAGGACUAUUACCUUGAAAAAAUUAGAGUGCUUGAAGCAGGCCAGUGCCUGAAUACAUUAGCAUGGAAUAAUAAAAUAGGACGGCAUGGUUCUAUUUGUUGGUUUCUAGGAUCACCGUAAUG